rnacentral:lncRNA from 10 species
AGCAGUUGGUUAGCGAAGGGAUUCGGUGCAGAUGGAUGGACCGUCUGGGCUGCGGAGUCCACGGGCCUGAAACGCGGUCGCUCCUGACCCGUCCUCCGCAACCCUCGUCCCACCAGGCCGCGGUUCCCGGAGCAGGCCGGCGGGUGGCAGGAAGACACCAGGCUGCAGGGGGCUGGAGAAGCAACACCCCUCUCCCUCCCCGCCAGAGAACUGGAGCGCGGGGACCUCGGUUGCGGAUGCUAGCUGCGAGCCGGGUUGCUAGGCGACAUCGAGAGAGGAAGAGGAGAAAGUCUUCAUGGGGUGCUAGAGCAUCUUAAAUGUCCCUCUCAUGCAGGGACAUUUCCCUGCUGAACGAAGAGAAGGCAGACCUCGGCGAGGGACCCGUGGUCAGCAGCAGCUUCUGAGGACUCAUCCCUUAGAAAGGAUGAUAAGGUGCAAGGCGUGGUGGCUCACGCCUGUAAUCCCAGCACUUUGGGAGGCCGAAAUGGGAGGAUCGCUUGAUCCCAGGAGUCCAAGACCAGCCUGGGCAACAAAGUGAGACUUCAUCUCAAAAAAAUAAAAAUAAAAAUACAAAAGUUAGCAGGGCGUGGUGGCACGCACCUGUAAUCCCAGCUACUCAGGAGGGUGAGGAAGGAGAAUUGCUUGAACCCGGGAGGUGG